UUUUUUUUUUUUUUUUUUUUUUAAAUUCCUUAGCCCCAAGCACAGGGUCUAGCACAGAAAAAGGGCUCAAUAAGAUCUGUGAUCCUUAAUAAUUACUAACAGUUACAGACUGCUUACUAUAUUCCAGGCAUUAUGCUAACUUACCACUCUAAAUGCAUCACUUCUUGACUAACCCAAAGGCACAGAUCAUAUGCUUUAGGGCCUGUACUAUCCCAGAACCUGCGCUCUUAACCACUAGGCAAUACUACCUCUCAAUUUUAUCAAAUAAGUAAACAAACCAACUCACACUUGGAGAAAGCCUUGAACUCAAAAGUCAUAAUUAGAGCUAAGGCCUCUUAAGGCAUCUUAAAGAUGAUCCUUGUGUGAUUAAUGUUUUCACCUAGAUAAAAAGUGUAUCAGAAGGCUCUCCCUAUUGGUAAGAUUUCACAGUCUCAACGACAUGACCCAAAACUCAGCAUCCAAACCAGGGCAUUUUCAAGAGUGAAAGGAAGCACUAUUAGCAAUUAAGCCAUGACAACAGGUAUGAUGAGCUGAGACAGUCCGGGCAAACCAGGCCUUCACUAAAACGUUCACCAAAACGCUCACACCAUCGCUCCACAUAGUGGAGCCCACGCAAAUGUUUGUGGCCAUGGCUGUUUGAGUUAUAAGGUAAAAUCAAAGACAACAUAUAAUUUGCAAGUAGUGCCCCUGAAGUGCAGGUAUUGGGACAAGAGGUUUCUUUGCCUGCCUCUAAACACACCUGAAUACAUUCUCCCUCAUUUAAAUCUUGGGUCAAGUGACUUGACUAAAAAUCUUUUCCCAGAAACAACUGGAAAAAGGUCCCUCUUAAUAAAAUCACCAAGAGAUUCCAAUCAUCCCCCUUUUGAGGCCAGGGGUCUUUAGUCUGCUUCCUUUCCAUUGUCUUUCCUUCUGACCUUAAAAGACAGUCCAGGUAACAGCACAUAUGAAUGUAGUGUUUUAAGAUGCUUUUCCAGGGACGCCUGGGUGGCUCAGUCGGUUGAGUGUCCAACUUCGGCUCAGGUCAUGAUCUCACGGUCUGUGGGUUCGAGCCCCGGGUCGGGCUCUGUACUGACGGCUCAGAGCCUGGAGCCUGCUUCGGAUGCUGUGUCUCCCUCUCUCUCACUUUGUCUCACUCUGUCUCUCAAAUAUAAAUGUAAAAAAAAAAAAAUGCUCUUCUAGGAAAGGGAGUGGUGGCCAACUCAGACAUCUGAGCUUGGACUCGUACAGUCUCCUUUCACCCUGGGUCGCUCAGCCUUAGACGCUCGCAGCAGUCCUACUAUUAAAAAAGCAAACCAAAACAGAGCAACGAAGCAUUUACACAGCAUGCAUACCUAAUCAUGAAACCUAAAUACUCAUUACUGAGGAUUCAGAGACAGCUAUUAGACUGCUAGUCAGUAGCCUGUACAUUUAUGAAUUACAUUUCUGCUACGGCUGAUUCUGCUGUGUAAUGAAGUGGGUUCAUUAUUUUUGCUUCAAUUAUAUCGAAUCUAGAUGCGUGGUAGGGCUUAAUGCAAUUUCAAGGCUCCUAAGAAGAACCACUCAAUUGUUUGUAUGGUGACUGUCACGGAACUGAAACAGCUCAUUGUGUAAAACGGGACCCACCGUUCAUCAUUUUAGAAGCAUUUUUGAGAGCCAUUUUUAUACUAGGUGAUUUUCAUCACUUUCAGUCAGUGUGAAGUAUUAAAAUAUCCUGUCGCUAUCAGAAGAAGAAAUAACGCACUUGUAAUGUUCACAAAUAUCACCAAUUGAAGCUCUCACAACUUAAACGUUAAAGGAAAAAAGUCAAGAGUCAAAUGCAAGAGAAAACAGUAAAGGGAGUCGGGGAGUAAUUCUUGAGUUUUCAAAAAGCUAGUAGGAAAUUCUAAAUCCAUCUGGAAUAGGGCUGCACGUAUUAAUGAAAAAAAAUCACUUAUUUUUGCUUUUGGCUAGAAUUCUAUCAAGUCAGUAUGAAGUAGCACUGGUACUAUUCCUACCGUUAUUUGGAAUACAUUCUAUUUAUCAUUUUGUUCGAUUUCAUUGUUCAACAACUUGUGGUCAUGACCAGAGACACUGAUUUGACACCCCACCUGCAGGAGGCAACGUGCUGUAUGGAUGUUGGCAAUUAUAAACAAUCAGGUAAACAAUCGUUUGUUAAUAAAGAUUACUUACUAUAAAGUUGUUUAUAACAACCUUCCGAAAGUAGAAACUGCAGUAGAAAAAUCAUAAUCUUAGGGCAUAAAAUUUGGGAACGAUUGCUCUACAGUCACUUUUAAAAUGUUCUCAGCUUUCAGGGUUCUUGGGUGGCUCAGUUGGUUAAGCUUCCGACUCUUGGUUUUGGUCCAGGUCAUGAUCUCACAGUUUAGUGAGUUUGAGCCCCGCACUGGGCUCUGAGCUGGCAGUGCAGAGCCGGCUUGGGAUUCUCUCUCUCUCCCUCUCUCUCUGCCCCAUCCCCUACUCAUGUCUCUCUCAAAAUAAAUAAAUAGACUUAAAAAAAUUUUUUUAAUGUUCUCAGCUUUCAAGCAUGCUUAAACAAGCUCUUGUAUACACUUCCUUUAGUUGAACCAAGUGUGACACCAAAAUUAUAUCUUUAUUUUCAUGUGAAUUAGGGGAAAAAAUAAGACCUCAAACUGAAUUCAUAGACCCCACUGCUUAGCAAAAUCUAAGUUAAAAAUAAAGUGGGGACAGAUUAUGCGAACAAAAAACAGAUCUGGGAUCCACUGUAAAGAGGCACAAGGGAACUUCUCAGGGAGAUGCAAAUGUCCUGUAUCUUGAUGAUGCUGAUGGUUCCAUCUCGGUGUAUAACUGCCAAAACUCAAACUGUAGCAUUAAAGUGGGUAAUUUUACUGCAUGUAAACUGUCCUUCAAUUUAAAAAAGGUAGGUGAGUGGAUUUAAACUCAACUUAAAAGAAAUAGUAAGCAAAUAAUAGUGUGAGUGGUACAGUGCAGCGGCAAAAUUCAAAAAUGGCAUAUGAAUAACUGCUAUUUGGGAAACACAGAGCAGCCCCCAUAAAGAGGGAAAAAGGCAGUCUAACAUAUUUUAAAACGUAUACAUCACAACAUUCAUCAAGUAAACGAUACUGUAGUUUCAAUAAUUUUUUCAGGGGAGGAACAUUCAUAAUCAGAGUUAUUAACAAAGAAAAACUGAGGCACACGAGAGCACCAGCUGCUCAUACUGGACAGAAGACUGUGGCGUCGUCAAAUGCCGAUUUACAACACACGCGUUAGACAUAAAAAUCACCACGUUUCUCCAACAGAUCACAGCGAUCAGAGAAACCUUCAAAAUGCUGUGUUUCUUACAUACCAACUACUGUGGCCUUCCACAUCUUCCUAAACAAUGUUAAUCCCAGAGAGUGAUAAUCGUGCAACUGUCAGCUCUCUCAAAAUCAUUGAUUUUCCUCCCCGGUGAAAACAGAAACAGUGCCUGCUACCCAGCACCAGUUCCUCAAGGACCCCAAAUGCAACACAUCUCUGAGAAGCACCCAGAACACAGCAGCACCUGCUCCUCUCAGGUCAAUGUCAAGAGAAAAUGACAGGGAACUUCUGGGAAGUUGAUAGAGUGCCCCGCAAACCUCAAUUUCUACAUCUGUAAAUGCUUGUGCCUGAUUUUUAAAGAAAAGCUUUUCAUUAAGAACUAGGCACUACCGUCUGUCUUCUAAGAACUGGAUACCCCUGGAAAAUCUUAUUUUUAACUAUCUCGGACUCUCUGCUUGAGUGUGUGUGGGAGCACAUGAAGAUACACUGUAAUUACUGGCUCAUGAAGUAGCAUAAUAUUCCUGGUUGAAGAAGGACAUGCAAAUAUUGCAUAGGGCAUUAAUACUUAAUCUUACCAAUUCAUCAAGAAGAGAAGCAGAAGAGAACAUAUGGGAAGAAGAAGGGGCAAAAAUACACGACCGAGGGGUAAAAACCUGGUGGAGACAAGGAGGCAGCCUUAGUAACUUCAGAUCAAACCUGUCACAGAAGUAUGCAAUAUGAGGGUUAAAACACAGAAACAAAAACAGAGCAUUCAGAUCACUCGCCGGAAGAUCUAUGCUGGGAAUGGUAGGGGUCCAAGUCUAAGUUUCAAAAACUGUAUUCCCAGAGACCACUACUCUGAAGAAUCAAUUCACUCAGACUUUGUAUCAUGAAUAAAUACUUCCUAACAACUACACAGAUGGAAGAACACCGCAUACCAGCCAAGCUCUAUUUCUGUAACGUUUACUAGUUUAUCUGGAAUCACACACUUAUUCUAGAACACAAGAAAACUGCUUAAAGAAAAGCAUGCUAUAGUCACUGGAAAAUGUAAAUCUUUCACUGAGAUAUGCUUCUUAUUGGGAGUCUUUCCUAGGACUUGUUGGGGACGGAAUCAGAAAGAUAAAGGUACCCAUUAUCCUCAUCAAUGUCACUCUGUCCUACACUGAAUUGGAAGUUUGUAGAAUUAAUGUUGCUGGCCUUAAGGAACCCAUCAAUUCUGAAGCCUUUGUAUCUAUGUGUCUUUGGACUUUCCAGGUUGAACUGUGUGAAACUGCCAACAUUCAACUGGUUUUUAAAUAUAUUAAUUAAUUUAAUUUAUUUGAGAGAGGGCGCAAGUGAGCAAGGAUUGGGGGGAGAGAGAGAGAAUCCCAUGAGGGCAGAGAUAAAGAGGGAGGGAAAGAGGGAGGAGGGAUGGAGAGAAGAGGAGAGAGAGAGAGAGAGAGAGAGAGGGAGGGAGGGGAAGGGAGAGGGAGGGAGAGAGAGAAAGAGAGAGGGAGGGAGGGGGAGGGAGGGGGAGAGAGAAGAGGGGGCUCACCCAAAGUGGGGCUCACCCUAAGCAGGGCAUGAGCUCACCUGACGCAGGACUCAAACUCACCCACUGUGAGAUCAUGACCUGAGCUCAAGUCAGAUGCUUAACUAAAUGAGCCACCCAGGUGCCCCCCUUUCUUUUUUUUUUUUUUUUUAAUGUUUAUUUAUUUAGUUUGAGUGAGAGAGAGCACAAGCAGGGGAGGGGUAGGGAGAGGGGGAGAGAAAGAAUCCUAACUCUGCCAGUGCAGAGCCGAACGUGGGGCUUGAUCUCAUGAACCAUGAGGUCAUGACCUGACUGAGGCACCCAGUCACUCCUCAACUGUUUUUCAUGUACAAAAUUACAUUCAUAGGACUGCACCUACUAUAAUGUCCGGUCUCACUAGGCUCCUGAGAAGCUCACUGUAGCUAAAUGUUCAGGUGUCAUGGAGUUGCAUUUUAAAGUGAAGGCUUUAUUUUGCUGUUUCUGCUUUUCUGCAUAUAGGAAGAAGAUUGUGUUGGAAAAGCAUACUCUUCCCUCAGUCAUUUGAAACUCAGAAUGCAUUUUCCACAGAAAUAAAAUGUGGAUGGGAUCCCAGGCUAGACCUCAAGGACUAUCCAACUUUAAGGCAACUAAAUACUUAACAUUUAAGAAAGCAAAAACGACUGCAAGAACAAAAAUUAAAUAAUAAAUUAAAAAUAAUAUUUUAAUUUUGAAUAUUGCUUAGAAAAGAGCGAUUUCAGAUUGUGGACAUUUUCAAAGUGAUUGGAAGCAUAUUUUUGAUGUCUAACUUCAAAAUAUGAAGCAGAUUUCCUUUCCCUUAAUUUAUGUUCUACCAGGAGUAAUAUGAGGCACAAUCAUAUAAUAAAGUAAGCAUCCACAUUUUAUUUACAUUUUUAAAACACUCUAGAAAAGCCAGGAUUCUGAACUAAAUAUUCUACCUAAAGAAUCUCUUCCACAGAAAUCUUUCUUGGUCACUCAAGUUCAUGCAGUCCCCAUUUUUUCCUUGAUACUUUUUAACCCCUCCUUGUUAUACAAGGACUUGUGUAAACAUGUAUGCCCCUACCAGAACAUAACCUCUUGCGAGGAUCGUGUCUUAUUUACCUUGUGUUUCUCUCAGCACUGGGCUCUGACCAUAGUUGGCCUUCAAUAAAAAAUUAUAAAUCAAACCAGGUUACUGCUUUAGUAAAAACAGCUAAAAUUGUACUCAAGCAACUCCUAUCUAUAAUUAUAACUCAUCAUCCUAGAUAUGGUGGAGCCCACACUGGAAUGGGGACCCUCUACAGCUCUGCACUGACGACCUCCACGAUCCUAAAUAAAUCCAAAAUCACCGGGACCGUAAAUUUUUAGGAUCAGGAACUCUGUACCAUGUUUUCCCUGACACCCAACGUUUGAUAAUCAGUUACCACUUUAGCCAUCAUGCACCUGUAUGCAUAACCCUCACAUGAUGAUACAGGGAUCAGCUUUAAAUGAGUACUAAAAUUACAGGCUAUCCUCCUCUCCUGUCGCCUUUUCUAUUUAAGAUCUACAAAAUCAGACCACAGAAAAUGGUUAUUUCAAACGUGGCUAACAGGGAUUCCUUAGUGAGAUUUUAAAAU